AUACCGAUAGCAAACAAGUACAGUGAUGGAAAUUUGAAAAGAACUUUGAAGAGAGAGUUAAUAGUACGUGAAACUGUGUGGUAGUAAACGCAGCCUUCCUCGAAGUGCAGCAUUGUGGAUCCAACCUAACUGUGCGAUUGGCAUGGCUGUCAGUCCAGAGCCGUUAAAAGCCUGGUUGAUGCUAAUUGUUUCCUUUCGUCACCAAGGAGGGUGCAUCUCCCGAUGCUUGACUGUAGGAACUGUUGGACUUGGACCGAAGGCCCGGGGUGGAGACCGAGCUGGCUGUAGUGGCCGGAUCGGACCCGCCGGUGUCCUGGCUCCUCGUUCGACAGGCAUAUGGCCAUCGCUUAUAGAGCGUGUCCUGUUAACACAGGUGGUCGUUCCCUACAGAGUAGGUCGGCGAAGGCUGCGACCCGUCUUGAAACACGGAC
rnacentral:rRNA from 1 species